UGGGGAAUCUUGCACAAUGGGCGCAGGCCUGAUGCAGCCAUGCCGCGUGAAUGAUGAAGGCCUUAGGGUUGUAAAGUUCUUUCGCCCGUGACGCGGUAACGGGAGAAGAAGCCCCGGCUAACUUCGUGCCAGCAGCCGCGGUAAUACGAAGGGGGCUAGCGUUGUUCGGAAUUACUGGGCGUAAAGCGCGCGCAGGCGGCUUGACAAGCCAGGGGUGAAAUCCCGGAGCUCAACUCCGGAAUGGCCUUUGGAACUGUCUGGCUGGAGGUCGGAAGAGGCGAGUGGAAUUCCCAGUGUAGAGGUGAAAUUCGUAGAUAUUGGGAAGAACACCAGUGGCGAAGGCGGCUCGCUGGUCCGGACCUGACGCUGAGGCGCGAAAGCGUGGGGAGCAAACAGGAUUAGAUACCCGAGUAGU
rnacentral:rRNA from 1 species